rnacentral:lncRNA from 1 species
AUGAUGGGUGAAAAAGUUGAGAAGCUGCAUACCAAAGAGAAGAAGCCCGAAGCCAAAAAGGCUAAUGCUGGUGGCAAAGUGGAAAGGGGUAACCUCAGGGCUAAAAAGCCCAAGAAGGGGAAGCCCCGUUGCAGCUGAAAUCCUGCCCUUGUCAGAAGAAUUGGCACAUAUUCCUGAUCUGCUAUGUAUUCUAGAAAGGCCACGUACAAGAGGAAGUACUCAGCCACUAAAUCCAAGGUUGAAAAGAAAAAGAAGCUUCUUGCAACUGUUACAAAACCAGUUAGUGGUGACAAGAAUGGUGGUAUCUGGGUGAUUAAACUUCACAAAAUGCCUAGAUAUUAUCCUACUGAAGACGUGCCUCAAAAGCUGUUGAGCCAUGGCAAAAUACCCUUCAGUUGGCACGUGAGAAAACUGCGAGCCAGCAUCACCCCCAGGACCAUUCUGAUCAUCCUCAUUGGACACCACAGGAGCAAGAGGGUGGUUUUCCUGAAGCAGCUGGCUAGCGGCUUGGUUGGUACUUGUGACUGGACCUCUGGUCCUCAAUCGAGUUCCUCUACAAAGAACACACCAGAAAUUUGUCAUUGCACCUCAACCAGAAUUGAUAUCAGCAAUGUAAAAACCCCAAAACAUCUUACUGAUGCUUACUUCACAAAGAAGAAGCUGCAGAAGCCCAGACAUCAGGAAGGUGAGAUCCUUGACACAGAAAAAGAGAAAUACGAGAUUACAGAGCAGUGCAAGAUUGAUCAGAAAGCUGCGGACUCACAAAUUUUGCAAAAAUCAAAG